rnacentral:rRNA from 1 species
UACAGAGGGGGCAAGCGUUAUUCGGAAUUAUUGGGCGUAAAGGGCGCGUAGGCGGCUAGGUAGGUCCGUUGUGAAAACUCGAGGCUCAACCUCGAGACGCCGAUGGAAACCAUCUGACUAGAGUCCGGAAGAGGAGAGUGGAAUUCCUGGUGUAGCGGUGAAAUGCGCAGAUAUCAGGAAGAACACCCGUGGCUAAGGCGGCUCUCUAGUACGUGACUGACGCUGAGACGCGAAAGCGUGGGGAGCGAACAGG